UAAAGAGUAAAAGAGAGAUAUAGUGCGACUAUUAUUUUUUUUAUUACGUUUUUAUAUUAUUAUAGUUUAUCAUAUAAACUACAUAUUUAUACAAUGUGUUAUAUCAACCCUAUCUAUGCGAAAAGUAUAUUAAAAUUUAAAUUAUUUUCAAGUUUAAGCGACUUUCGUGCAAUGUUACUCAUGUGUAUGAGCUUCGAGUUCGGCUCGAAACUAGUUGAGUUACCACGUCAACCAUUAAAGUGGUUAACCGUUAAAUAAUUUUAAUAUGACAAAUUAUUCUUAAAUCGAUCGUUAGAUCGAUGCCAGCAAGUUAUACCAAAAUAAAGGAAUCUUGUAGAUUGAAGUCGCUUUUAAUUUGACAAUAUUAAUGAAAAUCACACUAAUAAGUACUAUAAAUGUGAAAGUUUGUUUGUUUAGAUGUUUGUCCAUCAAUCACGCUGAAACUACAGCGUAAGAGCUGACUUGGAUGAUAGGAUACUUUUUAUCCCACAGGAACGCGACCGAAGCCGCUGGCAGAAGCUAAUUAUCAAUAAAAAAAUACACUAUACCUUACCACAUAUAACAGGGUUCACAUAACAUUAUGUAUAAACUUGAAAUCAGUACAUAAUACACUAACAUACAUUUAUUUUUGUUUAAUUUUUCGAUUCAAAAUCUAGUAUCUACAUACGGAGUACAUUAUCUCAUAACGUAUUCGCUCUUACCCGACUGCUUGAAAAAGAGAUAUUGUGUGGUUUGAAAGCAUUUACUUAACAUAAUGAUCGCCAGGUAAAAAGGAGCAUAAUCUAGAAUAGGGUGACUGGUAAUUAGUGAACGAUAUUUAAACACGUGAUUGUACUCAUGAUUACAAACAACUUUCCCAAAGAAUUUUUUGUAUACUCAUUAGUUUUAUUUUUAUCACAAUAACAAAACAACAAAAUUUCAUUAGCACGCGCGCGUAAAGUUCCAAAAUACCUACUAGUCUUCCGAUAACGCGGGCGCGGGCGCCUCGCUGCUAACAGCUGAUCAUGCGAAAGCACGCGCGCGCGAAAUUUUAUUGUUUUGUUAUUGUGAUAAAAAUAAAACUAAUCAGUAUACAAAAAAAAAUCUUUGGGAAAGUUGUUUGUAAUCAUGAGUACAAUCACGUGUUAAUAUAUCGUUCACUAAUUACCAGUCACCCUAUAUACACCCAUUUUUCACCUGUUAUCUUAUGAGUCUCAUAUAAUAGAGAGUCUAUGACCAUACAUUGGUAACAGACUACGUGUAAAAGCACUAACUGCGAAUAUUGUAAAGCGAAAAGCUCAAUAAUACUUUUUCCUAACAGUCGGGUAAUUUAAUUUGUUUUCAAAUACAAUGCAAAAGUUUUAUUCAUAAUUAUGGUUAUCACGAUAAUUAGAGCUUACAUAAAGAAAUAGGUUGUCAGUACGGGAGAAUUUGUACCGAUUACCGAUCACUGCUCAGUAAACUUAUGCCCGAAUACUCAAACGCUACUCAAUUUUAAGACGCUCUCAAAUGUAGUUAUGUCACUAUCAAUCUUUAUAUUUAUAAUUCUUCUGUACGUGUGUAUGUCACUGAACUCCUCUUAAACGACUAGACGGAUUUUGAUGAAACUUUUUGUGUGUGUUCAAGAGGAUCUGAGAAUGGUUUAGAUUCACAAUUUUGUUCGCUGGACAAUGUUUUUUUAAUUAAUUUUUAAUUUAUUAGUAGUUGUUGAUUUUGGAAUGUUUUACAUCGGAUCCGACGGACGGCGCUACCAUCGCAGUGUCAAAUAUUAAUGACGUUAGAUAUUGUCAUAACAUUUGAAUAAUAAUUUUCAUCAAAAAGGUCCAGAAAAUUUUCGUGUAGACAGGACAACGUCUGUCGGGUCCGCUAGUUCUUUAUAAAAUGAAAGAGAUAGCACGAUAUUUAAGUAUAACUUAAAAUUGAGUAGCAUUUGAGUAUUCGGGUGUUAAUUUUUUAUCUGAUACGAACGGACAGAUUCAAGCCAAAGCAUGGUUCUCUUUGCUUUCCAAGCGGAGAGAUUAUGUUAAACUUUUCUUUUAUAGAGGAGACCCACAGUCCAGGGGCCUUAGUCUGCUAUUACAAUUGUGUCAGAAUGGUCGAUCACCGAGCAGUGGGAGAGGGAUGGAGCUAUACAACCUUCAUAGCUCCGUCCCUCUCGCACUGCUCAGUGAGGCCCCAGCCCCCAGCAGUGGACUCUUAAUAAGUUGUUGAUGAUGUAGAAUACAUGUCUUCUUUGUACGGGCAACCUAAUCCUUUAUGUAAGCGACUAAUUUCAAAAUUAAAUACGUACCUAUGGUUACAUGUUUUGACAUAUUACUUUUAAUUACGUUUUACGAUUUACUCACGUAAGUGUUUGACGAGGGUAACUCGACUAGUUUCAAGCUAAACUAGAACCCACAGUCAUACGCGACAAACAUCAUUGCGAUUAGCGCGUGUAAUGCUCUUAUUUCUUUUUUUUAUAUAUUAAAUGGGCCGACGUUUGGCCGCUAUCUCGCCUGAUGGUAAGUGAUGAUGCGGCCUACGGUGGAGCACGUCUGCCCAUAAGCAACCUAUUCACUCGGGCUUUGAAGACACCCAGGUUAUACCCAUCAGGAAACACAGACUCCGGCAAGGAGUUCCACUCCCUAGCAGUUCGCACAAGGAA